GGCAAAAGUUAAUAUCCAUAAGGAUAUUUUUAUGCACAGUGCAUAAGCUGGUGACAGCCAUCCGAUGGUGAUUUUUUUAUGACACGUGUAUGGAUCUGAAGGUCUCACAUCUGACCCCGAGUCACACAGGAUCACAGUCUCAAGCUCUCUCAAGGUCUUACCAUCGCGAUUCUCUCUGAAUCUCGCCGUCUCGCCGUCGUCUUCUCCCUUCGUAAUCUCGCCGUAAUCUCGCCGUCGUUCGCCGUCGUUCGCUGUAAUCUCGCCGUAAUCAAAUGGUACUAGAUUCCUCCUUUUUCCAAACCGCA
rnacentral:lncRNA from 1 species